ACUAAUUACCUAACUAAUUAAUCACCUAAACUAACUUAAAAAAAUAAUAGAGGAGAGAGGGGGGUACCUUUAGAGGGAGAGAGGAGUUUGGGAGUAAUGAACGAGGCACCCUCGUUCUAGCGCGUCUCAAUAUAUAGGGAACAUUUACGACGAAGUUACCAGGCCUGUCUUUUUUCAUUUACGACGAAGUUACCAGGCCUGUCUUUUUUCAUUUACGACGAAGUUACCAGGCCUGUCUUUUUUCAUUUACGACGAAGUUAC
rnacentral:lncRNA from 1 species